GUUAAUUUCCUUUCUCCCUUCGCAAAGCCUCUGGCUAGGGACGCACGAGCUGCUACCGGGUCCCCCCGGGGGGGCGGGGGCUGUCCUGCGGGGAGAUCCUAGCUGCGAGCCGCUGGGGCUGCGAUUCCCGGCAGGAGGUGCCCGAGGUAGUACAGUCCGGCUCCAGGCUGUAUCCGAGUCACUCUGUUUCCCACAGCUGAGCAGGAUGGAAGUGGAAACAUAUCUAUUUGCCUGCUGUGUUUCCAGAGGGCACAGCAACAGUUAAGUUGCCUUCAGCAAGAGAUGCAGUUUUGACCAGUGAAGGGGACAGCUUAAUUUUUACUGGAGAAUUCUUGACACUGCCACAACCACAACGCUACAAUCCAGAGUUCCAGAUUCUACUUCAGGUGAACCACAGAGAUUUGUAGGUUUGGGGGAUCAAAUGUAGUUCCUUCCUUUGAUGUGUUGUGAACCUCAUUCUCAGGGCCGCCCAGAGGACCCAGGAGGCCUGGGGCAAAGCAAUUUCGGGGGCCCCUUCCAU